AACCCUGUUCUAUUAAAAAAAAGUUUUGAAAUAUCUCAAAUCCAAAGACUCUUCUUCUCCCUCUCGUCCCAACCUAGGAACCUCAUUCUAGAUCUCCCAAAAAUUCCAAAAUCUCUCAAAAUCAAGAUAUACUCUCCCCAAAUUUACUGCUCUCACGGCUCAUUUUUUUGAUUUCCCCAAAUUCCAAAUCCUAACCCUCAAAUUUGUGAGAAACUUUCCAAAAAUCAUCU
rnacentral:lncRNA from 1 species